GAAUCCACGCUGAUUUCUGGUGCUCGCGUGGCCGUUCAGGCCAUGCUGAUAAACGAGAAACAUGGAGGUUCUGCGCUCUACAGCGCCUUACCUUGCAUGUACUGCCCCCGCAACAGUGUGUGCACAGGUCGCAAGACCAGCCUGUCGUUCCACAGCCACUGAAGCCUCGUGCUUUGGGAAGGCUUCGACAGUCGGUGCAUCAGUCUGGAUACCGGCCAGAAAUUGGUUCGAGGC
rnacentral:ncRNA from 2 species